GCGAAACAAAGACAUUCGCAAUAUCCGUUUUGAAAAAUAGUAUUUAAACGCAAGUCUGACGGUGACUGUCACAGAAUCUGUUGACCGGGAACACUGCUAAUCCAUAAUCACGUUGAACACCUUUACACUUGGUUUACCAAUUGGAUAAGAAAGGCGAAAUGGACCCAGAAGAGCGUAAAGAUCAGGAUGUAAAUAGUUCGCAGAGUGAAGACCAGGAGACAUUGCCGUUAUCCAUAUCAGAGUCAGUGUCCUUGCUAACGACCUUAACCGAUAAUAGAAAGGCUUUGGUACUAAUUCUCCGGGAAGAAGCCAAACAAUUGAAUGAGAUGGCAAAGAACGUCAGGAUAAGUGAAAUAAGUGGAAGUACGGCUGGUAUUGUCGGAGGUGCCAUGAUAGUUGCAGGGGUAUUAGGGGCACCCUUCACUUUCGGUGGCUCUUUAGCUCUCACAGGGACGGGGUAUGUCCUCAGUGCAGCAGGUGGCUUAACUAGUGCUGUGGCGGCCAUCACUGAAUACGUUAUCAACAAAAACACGCGUGAAAAAAUCAACAAACUUCUUAAAAAAGACGAAGAGUCGAUGGGUCAAUUAAAUGACACAUUAGCGAUUGUUUAUAAUUCUGUGAAAUUCGCUAAAGGCGGAUCGAUACUAACCGCAAAGGGUGUUAAAGCCCUUCUAAAAUUGUUCCCCGAAGCAGCUGGGAAUGCUGCUGCUAAUGCCGCCAAUCUGGCGGCUAGAAUUCCUAGAGUAGCUAGAUUUGGUGGAAGAAUUCUUAGAGUCAUUAGAGUUGGUAGCAGCGCUCUGACAUUCCUAGCCUUACCUCUCGACGUAUAUAAUCUUGUGUCCAAUUCAAAAUAUCUUCACGAGGGUACGCAGACUGAAUUGGCCAAGAGAUAUACAGAGAUUGCGGAUCAGAUUGAAAGCACUGAAAAAGAUCUAAAUAAUCUAAAAAUCAAACUAUCAAACUGUGUACAAUAGAACCUCUAUAUGUAACACAGGAGGGGGGGGGGGGGGUAAUAAAUACGUAACACAAACUUACAAACAUACCAACUUACAAAUGGUUUUUAGUCUAGCUUAAUUUUUCUUCCUGGGGGCAGGCCGAUGGUACCUCAUCCCCUCCCCUCCUCUUAUAUUAAUUUCAAUUUGUUCCGAUGGACCUGUAGAACACAACCGGAACUAUUGUCAAACAGAAUAUUAUUGAUUAAUAUAAUAUGUAACGUAACCUACCCGGAUGUACUAUGUAUGUAUCUACUGUAAUUUAAAUAGGUCAAGUGAAAAGAACACCGAACAAACAUAUUGCUGGGAAGAUGGUUUUAUCAAGAACAUAAAAACAAUACAUUGCAUUAUUGCGACACAACAUGAAGAAUAAGUCGCCAGAUCCAAAACUUCUCCUAUUUACAGGACAAUAACUGACCAAGUUUGAUGAAAUAAUAAUGUUUUAUUUGAUUUCGAUUAUUAUUAUAUCCAUAAAGCUUUGUCUUAUUUAUAUUUCAUUUGAUCCGAAGUCAUGACAUUUUAAUGUAAUAAAUGUAAUUUUCUACAAUCCGUUGUACUCUUCUUCCGAUGAUAUUUUCAAUUCUAUAACUUUAUGUAA